rnacentral:pre_miRNA from 1 species
AAUGGAAUUGCUGAGUCAUAUGGUAAUUCUAACUUAAAUUUUUAAGAAACUGUCCAAUUGUUUUCCACAGUGGCUACUACAUUUUACAUUCCUACUAGCAAU